AGUAGAAUUGCUAGAUAAUAUGGUAAGUCUAUGUUUAGUUUUUUGAGCAAUCACCAUACUGUUCUCCACAGCAGCUGAACCAUUUUACAUUCCCAUCAGCAAU
rnacentral:pre_miRNA from 1 species